AACACUCAAAUCUGCCAUGUAGUCUUCCGUCCAUCACCAAGAUCACCAAGAGGCAAAAACUUACGAAACUAUCCUUUUUUUUUUCCACAAAACACUUGAAAGUUCUUUUCCUUUGUAACUAGCUCUUUUGGAAUUCGGCAGCCGCUCCAUUAACAUCCGUAAUUCUGUCACUUCAGUCUGUAUUCAGAGCUCACAGUUCUACCAUUUCAACAAUAAAUUGAGCACUUGCCGAAGGGUUUGAUUUUGCCAUCAGUAAACAUGCCAUACUUCGGUGGAAUGCUAAUAAAAACCGGCUAUUGGUUCGAUUCUUGCUACUCUUGAGAGGAGAUGCUUCAACGGAAGCCGCUGUGAUCAAAACCUUUGUUGUACUGAUUAUUUACCAAAAUUGCUUUUUCUUUCCCUGCAAUCAUAGAAGGAAAAGCUAAUAAAUGAUCGAGUUUCCGCAAAUCCUUUGCAGGAAUGCGGAAUUGGUGCAUAAUAUCGUAUUUUUCUUUAUCUCCACAAGACUAGCUUCCCCAUUACUGUCUAAUGAGACCCAGCUUCUACUUCUUGAACUGCAACAAACCCUUCUCAACCCACUGGCAGACAACUUUCAAUGCUAAAAAAAUAAGUAAAAUUCAUCUGUAUUA